rnacentral:rRNA from 1 species
UACUAAGCGGAGGAAAAGAAACUAACAAGGAUUCCCCUAGUAACGGCGAGUGAAGAGGGAAAAGCCCAGCACCGAAUCCCACAGCCUUGCACUGUCGGGAACUGUGGUGUAUAGGAAGCCUACUUGUCGGCGUGUUCGGGUACCCAAGUCCUCCUGAUCGUGGCCUCUCCCAUAGCGGGUGUCAGGCCCAUACAGGCACCCGACGGCGUCGGCUUGGAGCUUCCUCGGAGUCGGGUUGUUUGGGAAUG